rnacentral:lncRNA from 1 species
AUAGGUGACAACUACUUAGCACCACGGUAUUGUGUAAGGAAUUCCUGUACUCCGCUGUCUCUGAGCAUCUUUUUCAGCGAUGACUGCACAAAUGCAGUGUAUGAGGGGGUCCUUCAUCAGUCUGUGGUCCUGUUCUUCUGCUGUUUGAUGUAGACAAGUAGGUGAGCAGCACACAUUCACGCAGGGCUGGUCUUUGUUAUAAAAAAAGGGAAAUAGUCCCAACACAUUGUUCAACGAUCUUUUAGAUUUCACUGAACAAAUGACAUGAGUGACAGAAAUUGAGAGAAUGCAGCGUUUGCAGACCUAGCAUACAGCAAGCCUGCAGGAAAGGCCUGCAGGUUAAUGUCCCAGGAACAUGUCGAUCCGACUGAGAGGCAAGACCAUGAACCUGGAAGAUAGAGACAGACAGGUUCUCCGUGGAGCAGAGAUGAAACUAAACAGGUUAAGAGCUUCACCUGUCACAGACGAACUACCUUCACAAGGAAGCGGAUGUUCAGCAAAGACAGGAUCCACUCACAAGAACUUCCAAAUGUGCUCGGAACCAUUAGGAAUGGAGGCUUUUCAACAUAUGGCAGAAUGGACCUCAGAGCAGUAUAUCAGCUGCUAAGAGGAAAAGAAAACCCUGCUGGGCACGUAGCUAACUAUUAUUCAGUGGCAAUUCACUUUGGUAACAUUUAGAUUCUCAAGAGACUUGGGCUUCACCACAUGACAGUCUGC